CACUAGCAACCAAACAUUUUGCGAAUUGCGAGCAAAACAAAAAACAAAACAGCUGCGUGAUUAUAAUCUUUUUCUGAGUAAUAAUUAAUUAUUAUUAUUUGAAUAAAAACAAUUUUGAGGGAAUUAUACUAUGACGGAAGUUCAACUGAAUAGCCAGAUGAGAGGCAAAAACGAAGUUUUAAUAAUUGAAGAGGCCGAGUUGGAUACUAAAAUCCUUGAGCAGGACGAGAAUAUUUUAACUGGAUUCCUUAAUGAACAAGUUACAGAUGAUAUUACCAGACUACCUUAAAAAUCCUAAAAAAUGAACGUGACAAGCCAGCAAAAGACAAGGAGUCGUUAUGAGGAGAAAAUACACGCGAUUCCUUCCAAAUUCAUUUGUGAUCCUUAUCAAUGUCAAGUCAUGAAAGGACGAUCUGCUCCAGGAGGAGCUGCUCCAUUGUCCGAUGAAAGUUAUACAACCAGCAGUUCACUAUGAUUCCACUUGAAUACACACACCGGUGAGCGACCCUAUAAAUGCCAAUUGUGCCAGGAAACAUUUGAUCAUCAGGCCAAACUAAGGAAACACCACCAAAGACCAUCAUUGGAAUGAGCUGUAUGUCUGAAAGGUUUCUUUAUGCUCAACGAAAUCAAGAAGCAUCCACUCAUAAACACAGACGAUAGGCCGUUCAAGUGCGAUUUAUGCCAAAGCUACAGAUACAAAAAUAAUUUAUAUACACAUACAAAGAGUCGAAUUCACAUACAUAAUAAGACAAACAAAGAUUAAUAUAAAAAAAGGAUUAAACAAUUUAUUUAUCACUAUU